rnacentral:rRNA from 1 species
CCUACGGGAGGCAGCAGUGGGGAAUAUUGCACAAUGGGCGAAAGCCUGAUGCAGCAACGCCGCGUGAAGGAAGACGGUUUUCGGAUUGUAAACUUCUAUCAAUAGGGAAGAAAGAAAUGACGGUACCUACAUAAGAAGCCCCGGCUAACUACGUGCCAGCAGCCGCGGUAAUACGUAGGGGGCAAGCGUUAUCCGGAAUUACUGGGUGUAAAGGGAGAGUAGGCGGCAAGGUAAGCGAUAUGUGAAAGCCUUAAGCUUAACUAAAGGAUUGCAUAACGAACUAUCUAGCUAGUGUACAGGAGAGGAAAGCGGAAUGUCUAGUGUAGCGGUGAAAUGCGUAGAGAUUAGGAAGAACACCAGUGGCGAAGGCAGCUUUCUGGACUGAAACUGACGCUGAGGCUCGAAAGCGUGGGGAGCGAACAGGAUUAGAUACCCGAGUAGUC